rnacentral:rRNA from 1 species
GACGAACGCUGGCGGCAUGCCUAACACAUGCAAGUCGAACGGAACUCAUUGGAUCGAGACUUCGGUCAAGUGAAUCUGAGUUUAGUGGCGGACGGGUGAGUAACGCGUGAGGAACCUGCCUUUCAGGAGGGGGACAACAGUUGGAAACGACUGCUAAUACCGCAUAAUGUAUACGGACCGCAUGAUCUGUAUACCAAAGAUUUAUCGCUGAAAGAUGGCCUCGCGUCUGAUUAGCUAGUUGGUAGGGUACGGCCUACCAAGGCGACGAUCAGUAGCCGGACUGAGAGGUUGAACGGCCACAUUGGGACUGAGAUACGGCCAGACUCCUACGGGAGGCAGCAGUGGGGAAUAUUGGGCAAGUGGGGGCAACCCGUGACCCAGCAAUGCCGCGUGAAGGAAGAAGGCUUUCGGGUGUAACUU